rnacentral:rRNA from 1 species
AUACGUAGGGGACGAGCGUUGUCCGGAAUUACUGGGCGUAAAGGGCGCGCAGGCGGAUAUUUAAGUCAGCUGUAAAAGGCAUGAGCUCAACUCAUGUAUGCGGUUGAAACUGGGUAUCUAGAGUGCUGGAGAGGUAGGCGGAAUUCCCGGUGUAGCGGUGAAAUGCGUAGAUAUCGGGAAGAACACCAGUGGCGAAGGCGGCUUACUGGCCAGCAACUGACGCUGAGGCGCGAAAGCCAGGGGAGCGAACGGGAUUAGGUACCCCGGUAGUCCUGGCCGUAAACGAUGAAUGCUAGGUGUGGGUGUCGAGAGGCAUCCGUGCCGGAGUUAACGCGAUAAGCAUUCCGCCUGGGGAGUACGAUCGCAAGAUUGAGACUCAAAUGAAUUGGCGGGG